AACGUACGCUGGCGGCAGGCCUAAAACAUGCAAGUCGAACGCCCCGCAAGGGGAGUGGCGCACGGGUGAGUAACGCGUGGGAACGUGCCCUUCACUACGGGACAACGUCGGGAAACUGACGCUAAUACCGUAUAAUGACUCCGGUCCAAAGAUUUAUCGGUGAAGGAGCGGCCCGCGUCUGAUUAGCUAGUUGGUGAGGUAAUGGCUCACCAAGGCUAAGAUCAGUAGCAGGUCUGAGAGGAUGAUCUGCCACACUGGGACUGAGACACGGCCCAGACUCCUACGGGAGGCAGCAGUUAGGAAUAUUGGACAAUGGGCGAAAGCCUGAUCCAGCCAUGCCGCGUGUGUGAUGAAGGCCCUAGGGUUGUAAAGCACUUUCGUUGAGGAAGAUAAUGACUGUACUCAAAGAAGAAGCACCGGCUAACUUCGUGCCAGCCGCCGCCGUAA
rnacentral:rRNA from 1 species